AUAUUGGACAAUGGGGGGAACCCUGAUCCAGCGACGCCGCGUGAGUGAAGAAGUAUCUCGGUAUGUAAAGCUCUAUCAGCAGGGAAGAAAGAAAUGACGGUACCUGACCAAGAAGCCCCGGCUAACUACGUGCCAGCAGCCGCGGUAAUACGUAGGGGGCAAGCGUUAUCCGGAUUUACUGGGUGUAAAGGGAGCGUAGACGGUAAUGCAAGUCUGGAGUGAAAUGCAGGGGCUCAACCCCCGGACUGCUCUGGAAACUAUGUUACUGGAGUGCAGGAGAGGUAAGCGGAAUUCCUAGUGUAGCGGUGAAAUGCGUAGAUAUUAGGAGGAACACCAGUGGCGAAGGCGGCUUACUGGACUGUAACUGACGUUGAGGCUCGAAAGCGUGGGGAGCAAAC
rnacentral:rRNA from 1 species